rnacentral:lncRNA from 13 species
UCUUGAUGUCAGCUACUAAUACCUUGACACACGCACUCACACACACAGAGGCAGACACACACACACACUUCAAAAGAAUUUCAUCUCCAUCACUCAGCCCUAACAGCUUUGCUUUCAUCAGUGAGAUAAUGCUUGAUCAUGUCUGAUGUUAACAUACACACACAGAGAGAGAGAGAGACACACAUACACACACACAAGCUCUGACAAUGUCUGAUGUUCAGAGAGCAGCAUCUGUAGCUGCAGACAAAGUCUGUAUCCAAAGGGGUGCCACUUGAGACAUAGACAAGCUCAUUAAAGAGCUCCUUAUCAGCACCAACAAGCACUUUGAACUACAGGAUGUCUGGUGUCUUUUAAUCUUUCAACAGAUUGAUUAUGGUUCCUUCCUCUGUCGUUUCGUUCCAAUGCAUGCCAGAAUCGCUUAGAACUUCACAAACAUGGGUUGUGUCCUGAAUGGCACCGUAUUCCUUAAAUAGUUAACUCUAUGGGCUCCGGUCAAAAGUAGUGCAUUAUAUAGGGAAUAGGGUGCCAUUUGGGAUGGAAUCCUAAAACAGUCAGCCAUUUUAAUAGUCCUCUCUCUCUCUUUUCUCUACUUAUCGUCUUUUAACUAGUUUGUCAAUAACUGUAUCAAAUGAGUUUGCCUUAUUUCACAUUGUCAAACGUCUUCUUCAUGAUCUGUUUCUAACAGAUACUUGGGUGUAUCGCUUGCAGAUGAUUUGUAAUUUUGAGUAUUUACCUACUGUAACGUGAUGGCUGAAUUGUUUUGUUCUAUUGAUUCACUCUGUUACUCUCUGGGUUUCGGAAAAUUGAGCCAAAAGCAUUUCAUUUUGUUUUCCGAUGUUGUUAUCAAUUAUACAUUCACAAAUUAUUCAUUUUUAGUGGUUCCAUGCUAUACAGUACAUCCAAUGAAUAACAGUAAAGUACAGUACUAUGAAACUAUAAAUUACCAUAUGAAUUGGAGUACAGUACUAUUAAAUGAAAAUGAUGCCAGAUCAGUUGGCGUCUGAGACAUUAUGACUGAUGACAGGAUGACAUAAAGUGUAUAUUGGAAAGUCUACACAUUGUAGUUAUCAGAUUCACAUGUAAUUGUUGUGCAAUUGAAAUGUUUAAAUAUGAAACUAUUUGUGAAAAGAUUAAAUGUAAUUUUAGCUUCCAACUGAG